rnacentral:tRNA from 7 species
GCGGUUAUGGUGAAAUGGUCAACACACCUGAUUGUGGUCCAGGCAUGUAUGGGUUCGAAUCCCAUUAAUCGCCCCA